GGGAAUGUGGCUUAGUGGUAGAGUGCUUGUCUUUCAUGCAUUAAGCCCUAGGUUCGAUUCCUCAGUACUA
rnacentral:tRNA from 1 species